ACAAAAUUCGGACCGUCGAUUCACCGAGCCAUUUUACCCGCUCGGUGUAAGAUCUUCCUUUUGUGGU
rnacentral:pre_miRNA from 1 species